rnacentral:rRNA from 1 species
GAAGGCCCUAGGGUUGUAAAGCACUUUCAAUUGGGAGGAAAACCUGCCGGUCAAUACCCGGUAGCUUGACAUUACCUUUAGAAGAAGCACCGGCUAACUCCGUGCCAGCAGCCGCGGUAAUACGGAGGGUGCGAGCGUUAAUCGGAAUUACUGGGCGUAAAGCGUGCGUAGGUGGUUCGUUAAGUCAGAUGUGAAAGCCCUGGGCUCAACCUGGGAACUGCAUUUGAAACUGGCGGACUAGAGUUUAGUAGAGGGGAGUGGAAUUUCAGGUGUAGCGGUGAAAUGCGUAGAUAUCUGAAGGAACACCAGUGGCGAAGGCGACUCCCUGGACUAAAGCUGACGCUGAGGUACGAAAGUGUGGGUAGCAAACAGGAUUAGAUACCCUGGUAGUCCACGCCGUAAACGAUGUCGACUAGCCGUUGGUCCUAUAUACAGGAUUAGUGGCGCAGCUAACGCAUUAAGUCGACCGCCUGGGGAGUACGGCCGCAAGGUUAAAACUCAAAGG